rnacentral:lncRNA from 1 species
ACCUUAAAUAUUAAUUAAAAUUCUGAUUUUUUGGAUUGAGGCGGGCCGCGUAAAUCCCACCCCAAUCCUUACGCGGGCCGCGAGAAGCCCAAAAUGUGGCGCAACCCUGGGCCGCCACCUGGCCCAACACCCGGCAAGCCUACAUAGUGACCCAGCUAAGCUACGCAUUGACCGGAGGUCAACGCGGGCCGCGUAGGCCCUAUGCUCAUGUUACGCGGGCCGCGAGAGGACUAGAUUCAGCAACUAUAAAUAGGAGGCCUUGGAUAUCAGUCGAAAUCAUUCAAAAAUCAUUUCUCAAUCUCAAUUUCUGAAUAGUAGGCUUUAUACGCGGGUAUUAUACCCUCCCUAAUUAGUGAAGCUUUGCCUCAUUUCAUUGGAAUGCCGUCUCGGGGAUGAUUAUAACCAGGAAGUCAUAAAGGAAAGCCCUAUAAUAGCAAUGUAACUUAGUGUGAAGCCAAUAAAAGCCAGCUGGAGAGCACUGAAGGCUUGGAAAAGUGGCUAUAAAGUUAACUAAAAUUA